rnacentral:rRNA from 1 species
AACGAACGCUGGCGGCAUGCCUAACACAUGCAAGUCGAACGAGACCUUCGGGUCUAGUGGCGCACGGGUGCGUAACGCGUGGGAACAUGCCCUUAGGUUCGGAAUAACUCCCCGAAAGGGGUGCUAUUACCGGAUAAUGUCUUCGGACCAAAGAUUUAUCGCCUUUGGAUGGGCCAGCGUUGGAUUAGCUAGUUGGUAGGGUAAAAGCCUACCAAGGCGACGAUCCAUAGCUGGUCUGAGAGGAUGAUCAGCCACACUGGGACUGAGACACGGCCCAGACUCCUACGGGAGGCAGCAGUGGGGAAUAGUGGACAAUGGGCGAAAGGCUGAUCCAGCAAUGCCGCGUGAGUGAUGAAGGCCGUAGGGUUGUAAAGCUCUUUUACCCGGGAUGAUAAUGACGGUACCGAGAGAAUAAGCUCCGGCUAACUCCGUG